AUGGUGGUGAAGAAGAGAGCGGCAGUGAUUGCGGCCCUGUCCGUGUUCCUACUCCUCAUGCUGUCCAGGCCAUCCCAUCAACAGUUCUCCAAUUACUCCUGCAACUGCUACCGAGAGUGCUACUUAGAGUGCAAGCACGCCUUCCCGAUGCUCUGCAAGGUCGUGUGUGGCGGCAGCUGUGAUGACAAGAAUGACCCCGUAGCCGCCUGCAUGGUCGCCUGCACCAAGGACUCCCUAUGCGGCGUGCCGGCGGCGCCAUCCGGCGCCGCGUAUUGUAGCCAUGCGUGCAACGAUACGUGGGGUCGCCAUGGACGGGCCAAGGUUCCUUGA
rnacentral:rRNA from 1 species